rnacentral:sRNA from 1 species
UUUGCCUCAUAAAAGAUAAAGCUGCAAUUCAGAGGAACUGAUUUCUUUUUGAUGUAAUUAAUAUUAAUGCUGGCUGUCAUAUUGUCCAUUCAUAGGUCCAGAACUCAGCCCAGCAACACAGGACUUGUCCCUACCCUUCUGCUUUCAGCCAGACCCCCAUGCUCAACCUUGGUUUGCACUCCAUGCCUUACCAAGUGGCCAUUCCACAGCCAGUCGCUUGCUGCCCCCUGCUCCCUGCCCCCAUGUGCUCAUCUAAUAUCACCUCUGGGGGCAAGAAAGGGGGCAGCACAAAAGUGGGAGUGAGCAGAGGGGCACUGGGUGUGCUGUUGUCUUGCAUGAGCGACAAGGGAGGUUUUUGGGUUCUCUCUGUCUAGUCAAACUAGACUUAUAGAGCUUUUUUUCAGACCUAAGCAGUAUAGAUACCUUCCAAAGCCUAAUAUAAGAUUUAUUUUUAAAUUAUCUGCAAUAAUUAUCCAUGCCAUAAUUCCCUGCCACCAGAAUGAGUAAUCAGGAAUUAAUGGUAGAGGCAUUUCUGCAGUGUACAUCUGCAAGGUGGAAUCUGUAGGCUCUGCCCAUAGGUGGAACCAAGGAGAACGUGGUUUAAUACAGUUAUAGCUGCCUCCUUCCCAGCAAGUGCCAGUGGGAGUGAUGCCUUCAGUUGAGCCAACAGCCGCCUCCCUGCCCCUCAUGGGCUCACCCACAGAAAACGGCAGUCUCAUCUGUAUGCAGCUCUGGUCACUGUAUUUAUCGUUUGGGUUAGAGUGAGGAGGUGGCACUAGUUUGUCUUCAUAUGUUCUUUACUCCUGAUUAAUACAUAAGAACAUACUUGCUGAUUUCACUUGCUUCUUUGGGCCUGCUUGUUUUAAAUUAGAAUAUCAACAUUUUCCUGGGGUCCAUUAUAACACAGCCCCCCCCGCCCUCCCAUUUUCAACUAAAAACCCGAACAAGUCUGGUACUCUCUAGAUUUGGUGUUAAGGAAACAGAACUGGCUCCUCUGUGGGUCUUCUAGUGUUAGAGACUUUUCAGAGUGAUUUUGGAUAAAAAGUCAAACGUUUACCCUCUUCGCAAGGUAGGUAGGGUAGAAAUUAUUUUCAUUUUAUAUUCUUCCCAGCCUCUAAGACUUAAAUUUUUUUAAAAAAGAAAUGAAAUGUCCCUGAACAUUUUGUUUCUAGGAUUAUGCUUGUGUUCAUCAGUCGGUUUUCCUCUGGUGUGAUUUUGCUGUAGUAGAUUGGGGGUGGAGGAGGUGGCAAGGAGGGAGGGGGUGGUCACCACUCGUUGGAUCUUAGGAUAAAGUUGGUUGUGUCCAGAGGUGACUGAUACACCUUAUAAUUUCAGACUGUUCCAUGUCAUGUGAUCACUUCCAACUAGGCUUAAUCCAAACCUCUCUCUAAAGAUAAUUCACAAUAGAGGACAGAGUGGUCACAUAAUGUUUCUUACAGUGACAUGUGCAUUAGAAUGAUUUGUAGACCAAAUUUCAAACGUUUCCUUUUUUGGCAAAUUGUGUCUGAAAUUAUUUGAUUUUUCUUUUAGAAAAACACACCAACUUUUAUAGCCCUAUGGCUGUGUAAAUAAGAUGAUUUCUGGAACACAAAUGGGCAAAUAGUAUGUAGAAUAUCAUUAGAAUCAUUAUAUCACUGUCACUGGUCCUGGGGUUGCCAGGCCUUUUCUGAUUAUCAGAUGCAACAAAUGACGUCCAAUUUUAUUGACCAGUUCGGCUUCAACGAUGAGAAGUUUGCAGAUCAAGAUGACAUUGGCAAUGUUUCUUUUGAUCGAGUAUCAGACAUCAACUUUACUCUCAAUACAAAUGAAAGUGGAAAUAUCGCCUUGUUCGAAGCAUGUUGUAAGGAAAGAAUACAACAGUUUGAUGAUGGUGGCUCUGAUGAGGAAGACAUAUGGGAGGAAAAGCACGCCGCGUUCACACCAGAGUCCCAAAGACGAUCCAGCUCGGGGAGUACAGACAGUGAGGAAAGUACAGACUCUGAAGAAGAAGAUGGAGCAAAGCAAGACUUGUUUGAACCCAGCAGUACCAACACGGAGGAUAAAAUGGAGGUGGACCUGAGUGAACCACCCAACUGGUCAGCUAACUUUGAUGUCCCAAUGGAAACAACCCAUGGUGCUCCUUUGGACUCUGUGGGAUCUGACGUCUGGAGCACAGAGGAGCCGAUGCCAACUAAAGAGACGGGCUGGGCUUCUUUUUCGGAGUUCACGUCUUCCCUGAGCACAAAAGAUUCUUUAAGGAGUAAUUCUCCAGUGGAAAUGGAAACCAGCACCGAACCCAUGGACCCUCUGACUCCCAGUGCGGCUGCCCUGGCAGUGCAGCCAGAAGCGCCAGGCAGUGUGGCCAUGGAAGCCAGCUCUGACGGAGAGGAGGAUGCAGAAAGUACAGACAAGGUAACUGAGACAGUGAUGAAUGGCGGCAUGAAGGAAACGCUCAGCCUCACUGUAGAUGCCAAGACAGAGACUGCGGUCUUCAAAAGAGUGUUGAAAUCCUAUCGUGAGGAAGGGAAACUGUCUACCUCUCAAGAUGCUGCUUGUAAAGACGCGGAGGAGAGUCCCGAGACUGCAGAGGCGAAGUGCGCCGCGCCCCGGCCUCCCAGCAGCAGUCCCGAGCAGAGGACUGGCCAGCCAAGCACACCAGGUGACACUUCAGUGAAUGGCCCUGUAUGACGGGUGACGUCUGCUGCUGCUGACUGAGGACUGCAGACCGCCACCACUCAGGGGCUCUGGAGGGGUCAGCUGGAGCCCACCAAGCUGUCACUGCUGCACUCACUCUGCAAGGGAUCAGGACCAGCAACCUUUAUAUUCUAGAUUCUAAGACAUUGUACAGAGAAAUUCAGAAGUGUAAAAAUAUUGCACAUUGACAAAUACCAAGAAUUUUUGCGUAUGUUUAUAUUGUAUUGUUCUAAAUAAUGGGUAGCCUGUGAAAUAAGAUCUUGCCACCCAUGUAAUAAUAGUAGUAAUACUAUAGUUAAAAUGGCUGUAAGAAUAGUUUUAUAAAAGUGAAUACACAGAUCUAUUGUAUUUGAAACAUAACUAUUUGACAAUUAUUAGUGUGACCAAAGUAUUAGGCAGUUUUCAUACAUUUUUCACCUUGUACAAAAUUACGAAUUCAUUUUUCUUCCAGGCUGACAAGGAGUUGUAGAAUGAAAAUGCCCUCUAAGUGUUAUUUUGGUUGUUCUAACUUACAAAAGUGAUUUUGAAUAAGAAAUAUUUGGUGUUCUUUUUAUAACCAGUUUUUGAUUGGUAAUCGUUUUCUGUAUUGUUUAAAACGGAUCAAAAAUGUAAGUCUAUUGGUAGAGAUUAAGUAUUUAUUGCUACAUCAUAGUUGAUAAAUUGAUGUUAUUGUAAAGCCAUAUGUUCUGUUCAAGUCUUGUUUGCUUGAAAUGAUUAUUCCUACAAGUGAAACACUAGACUAUUUGGAGUGUAUAUGGCUUGUGUUUUGGGUUUUUUUUGUUUUGUUUUGUUUUGUUUGUUUUUUUUUUUUUUUUGGCUUUUGUUUUUGUUUUUUGUUUCGUUUGGUAGUUCAUCUGCCUUUUAACCCAUUCACCAAAAUUUACCUUGUUAACAAGCAUCACCAAUGAACAUUUCAGAGCAAUCUGCAUAUUUAACAGACCUAAAUCCUAUUAGGCAAGUCAGUUGAAAAUGCUCGUGCUGCUAAUGGAAUUAGAGUGCGUUCAUUUUACAGGCUAGUAUUUUAAAAGUAGAAAUCAAAAUCUGGCACCGAAGCAUGCUAAUUGUUUACUGUACCUUGUGAGGUUUUCACUCAUAAAUUUAAACCAGUGUAUUUUUUUUAGAACUGGUUUGUGUAUAUAUAUAGUGAUUAUGGAUACUAAUUCAAUGUAAUUUAUAAUUUUCUAUGUCAAUACAAAAAUACAUCACAGCCUUCUCAAACAGCUGAAGCAAUAUAUUGUAUAUUGCCAUAUUGUCUGGUGAAAGGGUUAAAUUACUUCACCUCUUGCACUUUUAGAUGCAAAUCAGUUUUUCAUUUCUGUAAUAGAAAAUUAUUCACGUAUUUUUACAUCAUUUGUUUUUCCUGACCAGUAUUUAAAACCAAAAGGAUAUUCUGAAAAAUGGCCAACAAUUUUUUUAGAAAUAGCAUCCCAAGCAGCGUGCCUAAACAUUACAUUGCAUAUGGAAAUAAAAGAAUCAAACGUC